rnacentral:rRNA from 1 species
GAUGAAAGCUGGCGGCGUGCCUAAUACAUGCAAGUCGAGCGAAGCGGGGACGGGUGAGUAACACAUGGAGAAACUCCUAUAAGACUGGGAUAACUUCGGGAAAAGGGAGCUAAACCGGAGACUUAAAGAUGGAUCAGCGCUUCAUGAGCUAGUUGGUAAUGUAACGGCUUACCAAGUCAAAAAUGCAUAGGCGACCUGAGAGGGUGAUCGGCUGCACUGUAAUGGAGCCACGUUCCAUACUCCUACGGGAGGCAGCAGUAGGGAAGCUCCCGCAAUGGGUGAAAGCCUGCCGGAGCAACGCCGCGUGAGGUAUGAAGUUUGUCGGAUCGUAAAACUCUGUUAUUAGGGAAGCGGUACCUAAUCAGAAAGCCACGGCUAACUACGUGCCAGCAGCCGCGGUAAUAC